rnacentral:rRNA from 2 species
UGACCUCAGAUCAGGUAGGGAUACCCGCUGAACUUAAGCAUAUCAAUAG